rnacentral:rRNA from 1 species
CCUACGGGGGGCUGCAGUGAGGAAUAUUGGUCAAUGGUCGGGAGACUGAACCAGCCAAGCCGCGUGAGGGAGGAAGGUACAGAGUAUCGUAAACCUCUUUUGUCAGGGAACAAAGGCGGGGACGUGUCCCCGGAUGAGUGUACCUGAAGAAAAAGCAUCGGCUAACUCCGUGCCAGCAGCCGCGGUAAUACGGAGGAUGCGAGCGUUAUCCGGAUUUAUGGGGUUUAAAGGGUGCGCAGGCGGUCUGUUAAGUCAGCGGUCAAAGCCCGGGGCUCAACCCCGGCCCGCCGUUGAAACUGGCAGUCUCGAGUUGGAGAGAAGUAUGCGGAAUGCGCGGUGUAGCGGUGAAAUGCAUAGAUAUCGCGCAGAACUCCGAUUGCGAAGGCAGCAUGCCGGCUCCACACUGACGCUGAGGCACGAAAGCGUGGGUAUCGAACAGGAUUAGAUACCCCUGUAGUC